CCCCCUGCCUCUCUCACAAGCACUCGCGAGAAAGUUUCAGAGAGAGAGAGAAAAACCGAGAAAGUUUCAGAGAGAUGGAGGGCUUCAAUUGCGGAACAGAAUCUUGGGUUUCUUCAAUCCGAAAAAACCCAGAUGAACAAACCCAUCAAUCACUACAAACCUCUUCUUCUUCUGAGAUCAUGCUAGGAAUCGGAGAAGAAGAAUGGCCGAAGCUGAAAAGCUUGAAGAGCAAGAAGAAGAAAAAGAACCAAGUUUUGCUUGAAGGGUAUGUAGAGUCAGCCGAUGAGGAUGAUUUGUCUAGGACCAAGAGCUUGACGGAUGAGGAUCUUGACGAGCUCAAAGGGUGUUUGGAUCUGGGAUUUGGGUUCAGCUACGAAGAGAUUCCUGAGCUCUGUAACACCUUGCCUGCUCUUGAGCUUUGUUAUUCUAUGAGCCAGAAAUUCAUGGACGAAAACCAGAAGUUGCCGGAGAAUUCUCCGACCACAGUUGAUUCGUGCCCUUCGGUUUCAAGUCCAAUUGCCAAUUGGAAGAUCUCUAGUCCUGGUGACCAUCCUGAGGAUGUUAAAGCAAGGCUCAAAUACUGGGCACAGGCUGUGGCAUGCACCGUUAGGUUAUGCAGCUGAGAAAAAUUAGGACUUUUUGGAUUACUGCUUUAGAUGAAAAUUAAAAAAUGGAUGGGCAGUUUUCUUGAUUUCAAACAUCAUCAAACCUGAACAGGUUGGACCUUCAUCGGGAGCUUGCGCUUCACUGGUUUAUUAUGUAAUGGCUUCUGUCAGGAAUAAUUGUUCCUGCAAUUCCAGAACCUGUUGAUGAUGGAUUUACUCUGAGGAUGAUGAAGAAGAAUAUUUCAGCGGUGAGAGCCUCCAUUAGAGCUUCACCAAGUACUUCCUGACCUCUUAAUUUGCUGAGGUAACUAACCUAACUGAGUGAACAUUGUGUGUUUUUCUGGUGCUUCUAAUUAUGACCCUCUAAUGAAAGUUAUGGUUCUGUGAUGCAAACAAUGUUAACUGUGCUGACUAACUGUGUUUAUCUGUCCUAUGGAUAGAUUUUGUACCCAUUCGGCUGGAAUUGCAGAUGCAAUUGAAAAGACAUAAUGAUUAAACCCUAAUAGAUCUUGUACCUUAGCUGUUGGUUUUUAUGCAGCGGUAAGAGCCUCCGUUAGAGCUUCACCAAGUACUUCCUGACCUCUUAAUUUGCUGAGGAGUGUGGGUGGGAAGCUCUAAGAAGCACUAUCUUAGAAAGACUUUCAGAAUGUUUCUUUGCUCGUCAUUGAAGGCGCUGUCAGAAGGUUAGAUGAAGGAUUAAGUUCCUUCUGGGAUAAGAUGAAGGAUUUGCCUUGGUGUAUGGCUUAUAGGUUGGAGAGAGAAUUGCUGCCAGCCAUAUGGCAGCUGUGGGCCUAUGCAAUGAAUUUGAAGCAUUUUUGACUUGUCUAGCUGGUCUCUGAAGAAUUUUCAAUGUGAUUUCUCACUAGGUUAGAAGCAUUUACAAGCAAAAGGAUUCAGGUUUGGCCAAUGACCUGUUUGAUGGAGUUGGAAUUUAGGGGUCUCAACUUGUGUUUUUGGAUGAGUUUGAUUUCUUUUUCACAAAUCAAUGGGAUCUAUCAUUCUCAUUAGCGAUAGUCUAAACUAAAGAGAAUAAGGAUUUCUCACACACACACACACACACACAAUGAUCUCAUGAGGGUUCGAACUUGAAACCACUAGUUUACAAAUCAAGGUCCUUUUUCCACCGAGCUGGACUCCUUUGGCAUCAUUCUCAUUCUAGUGUUGGGAAAUUCUGGAAAUGAAAAAAUUUGCAGUUUAAAUAUGGAGCUCAUUCGUAGAGAAUGCUAAACUCAUUCCUGAAGGGUGGUUAUUUUCACAUGCUAUGGAUAGGGCUUUAGAAUCACCAAUAGCCUCAAAGCUUUGAAGGCGUCGCGUCUUCUAUUAAAAUAAUUAGGGUAAGUACAAGUCUUGAAAUUUUGAAAAAUCAACGUCUAAUUUUUUUAAAGUGUCUUAGCAACUACGCUAACUCAUUCUUUAACUAAUUUUUGUUGUACCAGCCUCUCAAAUGAUUGGCUGGUGAUCUACGAUUCUUGGUCAAAGUCUCUGUUGUCACCAAGUAAACCCGAAUUAAAUAUU